rnacentral:rRNA from 1 species
GACGUAGGGCGCGAGCGUUGUCCGGAUUUAUUGGGCGUAAAGAGCUCGUAGGCGGUUUGUCGCGUCGAAUGUGAAAACCCGGGGCUCAACUCCGGGCCUGCAUUCGAUACGGGCAGACUAGAGUUCGGUAGGGGAGACUGGAAUUCCUGGUGUAGCGGUGAAAUGCGCAGAUAUCAGGAGGAACACCGGUGGCGAAGGCGGAUCUCUGGGCCGAUACUGACGCUGAGGAGCGAAAGCGUGGGGAGCGAACAGG